CCAGCAGUGAUUAUACACUUUUUAUACCAAUUGUUCCGACUGAAUAGUGUACACUGCGUGUCGACAACCUUGCAUAUCGUUAAGUUUCAGCCUUGUAUGAGCUGG
rnacentral:snoRNA from 1 species